CAGACCGCCAGCUAAGGUCCCAAAGUCAUGGUUAAGUGGGAAACGAUGUGGGAAGGCCCAGACAGCCAGGAUGUUGGCUUAGAAGCAGCCAUCAUUUAAAGAAAGCGUAAUAGCUCACUGGUCGAGUCGGCCUGCGCGGAAGAUGUAACGGGGCUAAACCAUGCACCGAAGCUGCGGCAGCGACGCUUAUGCGUUGUUGGGUAGGGGAGCGUUCUGUAAGCCUGUGAAGGUGUGCUGUGAGGCAUGCUGGAGGUAUCAGAAGUGCGAAUGCUGACAUAAGUAACGAUAAAGCGGGUGAAAAGCCCGCUCGCCGGAAGACCAAGGGUUCCUGUCCAACGUUAAUCGGGGCAGGGUGAGUCGACCCCUAAGGCGAGGCCGAAAGGCGUAGUCGAUGGGAAACAGGUUAAUAUUCCUGUACUUGGUGUUACUGCGAAGGGGGGACGGAGAAGGCUAUGUUGGCCGGGCGACGGUUGUCCCGGUUUAAGCGUGUAGGCUGGUUUUCCAGGCAAAUCCGGAAAAUCAAGGCUGAGGCGUGAUGACGAGGCACUACGGUGCUGAAGCAACAAAUGCCCUGCUUCCAGGAAAAGCCUCUAAGCAUCAGGUAACAUCAAAUCGUACCCCAAACCGACACAGGUGGUCAGGUAGAGAAUACCAAGGCGCUUGAGAGAACUCGGGUGAAGGAACUAGGCAAAAUGGUGCCGUAACUUCGGGAGAAGGCACGCUGAUAUGUAGGUGAAGUCCCUCGCGGAUGGAGCUGAAAUCAGUCGAAGAUACCAGCUGGCUGCAACUGUUUAUUAAAAACACAGCACUGUGCAAACACGAAAGUGGACGUAUACGGUGUGACGCCUGCCCGGUGCCGGAAGGUUAAUUGAUGGGGUCAGCGCAAGCGAAGCUCUUGAUCGAAGCCCCGGUAAACGGCGGCCGUAACUAUAACGGUCCUAAGGUAGCGAAAUUCCUUGUCGGGUAAGUUCCGACCUGCACGAAUGGCGUAAUGAUGGCCAGGCUGUCUCCACCCGAGACUCAGUGAAAUUGAACUCGCUGUGAAGAUGCAGUGUACCCGCGGCAAGACGGAAAGACCCCGUGAACCUUUACUAUAGCUUGACACUGAACAUUGAGCCUUGAUGUGUAGGAUAGGUGGGAGGCUUAGAAGUGUGGACGCCAGUCUGCAUGGAGCCGACCUUGAAAUACCACCCUUUA
rnacentral:rRNA from 1 species